rnacentral:rRNA from 1 species
UCCUGGCCGUAAACGAUGCAUACUAGGUGAUGGUACGGCCAUGAGCCGUGUCAGUGCCGUAGGGAAACCGUUAAGUGUGCCGCCUGGGAAGUACGGUCGCAAGGCUAAAACUUAAAGGAAUUGGCGGGGGAGCACCACAAGGGGUGAAGCCUGCGGUUCAAUUGGACUCAACGCCGGGAAACUUACCAGGGGAGACAGCAGAAUGCCGGUCAGGUUGACGACCUUACCUAACGAGCUGAGAGGAGGUGCAUGGCCGUCGCCAGUUCGUGCUGUGAGGUAUCCUGUUAAGUCAGGCAACGA